rnacentral:rRNA from 1 species
AUACGUAGGGAGCGAGCGUUGUCCGGAAUUACUGGGCGUAAAGGGUGCGUAGGCGGCAUGGCAAGUCAGAUGUGAAAUCCCCGGGCUUAACUCGGGAGUUGCAUUUGAAACUGCUGUGCUUGAGUGCAGGAGAGGAAAGCGGAAUUCCUAGUGUAGCGGUGAAAUGCGUAGAUAUUAGGAGGAACACCAGUGGCGAAGGCGGCUUUCUGGACUGUAACUGACGCUGAGGCACGAAAGCGUGGGGAGCAAACAGGAUUAGAUACCCUGGUAGUCCACGCUGUAAACGAUGGAUAAUAGGUGUGGGGGAGAUACAACCUCCGUGCCGGAGCAAACGCAAUAAGUAUCCCGCCUGGGGAGUACGGCCGCAAGGCUGAA